CGUGAGGGAAAGGUGAAAAGAACCCCGGGAGGGGAGUGAAAGAGAACCUGAAACCAUAUGCCUACAAGAAGUCAGAGCCCGUUAAAGGGUGAUGGCGUGCCUUUUGUAGAAUGAACCGGCGAGUUACUGUAUGGAGCGAGGUUAAGCAGGAUAUGCGGAGCCGAAGCGAAAGCGAGUCUUAAGAGGGCGCGAGUUGCAUGCAGUAGACCCGAAACCGGGUGAUCUAGCCAUGACCAGGUUGAAGUUGGGGUAAAACCCGAUGGAGGACCGAACCGACCCCCGUUGAAACGUUGGCGGAUGAGUUGUGGCUAGGGGUGAAAUUCCAAUCGAACCCGGAGAUAGCUGGUUCUCCCCGAAAUAGCUUUAGGGCUAGCGUCGAGAGAAGAGUUGCGUGAAGGUAGAGCACUGAAUAUGUGAUGGCCCCAUCUCGGGGUACUGAGCAUAAUCAAACUGCGAAUGUCACGCCAACAUGCUCGGCAGUCAGACAGCGGGUGAUAAGGUCCGUUGUCAAGAGGGAAACAGCCCAGACCAUCAGCUAAGGUCCCAAAAUGUAUGCUAAGUGGAAAAGGAUGUGGAGAUGUACAGACAACUAGGAGGUUGGCUCAGAAGCAGCCAUCCUUUAAAGAGUGCGUAACAGCUCACUAGUCGAAUGACUCUGCGCCGAUAAUUUACCGGGGCUAAGCAUACUACCGAAGCUAUGGAUCCCAAGGGAUGGUAGGGGAGCGUUCCAUGAACGGAGAAGUACGACCGAAAGGACGUGUGGAGAUCAUGGAAGAGAGAAUGCCGGUGUGAGUAGCGGAACGUGGGUGAGAAUCCCACGCACCGAAAACCCAAGGUUUCCAGAGGAAGGUUCGUCCGCUCUGGGUAAGUCGGGACCUAAGGCGAGGCCGAAAGGCGUAGUCGAUGGACAACAGGUAGAGAUUCCUGUACCCGUAUAUAUGUGAAGGAAUGACGGAGAGAGGAAGCUGCAGCCAGCGGCUGGAAGAGCUGGUGCAAGCGAGAUAUCGGGAUGGCAGGCAAAUCCACCAUCCGAAACGAGAAGGCGUGAAGCGUACGGAAAGCUACGGCGAGUACGGAAGGCAGUGGAGGAACUUCCAAGAAAAGUUUCUAACGUUAAGUAUAUAUGGCCCGUACCGAAAAUGGACACACAUGGGUGAGGAGAGAAUCCUAAGGUGAGCGAGAGAACUAUAGCUAAGGAACUCUGCAAAAUGACUCCGUAACUUAGGGAGAAGGAGUGCUCAUAGAGAUAUGAGCCGCAGUGAAACGGCCCAAGCGACUGUUUACCAAAAACACAGCUCUCUGCUAAGCCGCAAGGCGAAGUAUAGGGGGUGACGCCUGCCCGGUGCUGGAAGGUUAAGGGGAGGGGUUAACGCAAGUGAAGCCCUGAACUGAAGCCCCAGUAAACGGCGGCCGUAACUAUAACGGUCCUAAGGUAGCGAAAUUCCUUGUCAGGUAAGUUCUGACCCGCACGAAAGGCGUAACGAUUUGGGCGCUGUCUCAGCUGUAGACUCGGUGAAGUCUUAGUACCUGUGAAGAUGCAGGUUACCCGCGACUAGACGGAAAGACCCCAUGGAGCUUCACUGCAGGUUGAUAUUGGGAUUUGAUGCAGCAUGUACAGGAUAGGUAGGAGGCAAAGAGAUGGAUACGCCAGUAUUCAAGGAGCCGCUGUUGGGAUACUACCCCUGUUGUAUUGGAUUUCUAACCGGACGACGUAGAGCCGUUGACGGGACAGUGUCAGUCGGGCAGUUUGACUGGGGCGGUCGCCUCCCAAAGAGUAACGGAGGCGCCCAAAGAUACCCUCAGCUUGGAUGGAAACCAAGCGCAGAGUGCAAAGGCAAAAGGGUGUUUGACUGCGAGACCUACAAGUCGAGCAGGGACGAAAGUCGGGCUUAGUGAUCCGGCGGUGCUGAAUGGAAAGGCCGUCGCUCAACGGAUAAAAGCUACCCUGGGGAUAACAGGCUGAUCUCCCCCAAGAGUUCACAUCGACGGGGAGGUUUGGCACCUCGAUGUCGGCUCAUCGCAUCCUGGAGCGGAAGUACGUUCCAAGGGUUGGGCUGUUCGCCCAUUAAAGCGGUACGCGAGCUGGGUUCAGAACGUCGUGAGACAGUUCGGUCCCUAUCUGUCGUGGGCGCAGGAAAUUUGAGAAGAGCUGUCCUCAGUACGAGAGGACCGGGAUGGACGCAUCAAUGGUGGACCAGUUGUCACGCCAGUGGCAUAGCUGGGUAGCUAAAUGCGGAAGGGAUAAACGCUGAAGGCAUCUAAGUGUGAAACCCACUUCAAGAUGAGAUUUCCCAUUGCGCAAGCAAGUAAGACCCCUUAAAGACGAUAAGGUAGAUAGGUCAGGAGUGUAAGCAUGGUGACAUGUUAAGCGGACUGAUACUAAUAGGUCGAGGGCUUGACCG
rnacentral:rRNA from 1 species